AACUUUCCACACACACAGACCCACUCGACAAGGAUUAUUAUAUUAUAUGGUUUUUUUGCAACGAAAGCUAAAUGACUACUACUAAUAAGGUUACAUAUAAUGGGGGCUGUGUAAUUGCCAUGCAGGGCAAGGAUUGUAUUGCCAUUGCCACGGAUCGUCGCUUUGGCCUGCAGUCGCACACCGCUGGCGAGGAUUGUCAGAAGGUUUUCCAUCUAUCGCCACGUUUGUAUUUGGGUUUGACUGGCCUGCAUACGGAUAUUAUGACUGUGUACAAUCGUCUGAUGUAUCGCAAGAAUGUUUAUGAGAUAAAUGAGGGUCGUGAGGUGUCGCCGAAAGUCUUGACGGAACUACUCUCCCAUUUGCUUUACGAGCAUCGAUUUGGUCCAUUCUUUGUUGAGCCCGUUAUUGCCGGCCUGGAUCCCGAAACCCUCGAGCCCUAUAUUUGCUGCAUGGAUCUAAUUGGCUGUGCCAAUGUCACAAAUGAUUUUGUUGCUACUGGGACCUGUUCGGAUCAAUUGGUAGGCAUGUGCGAGAGCGUUUGGAGUCCGAAUCUAAAUGCAACUGAACUUUUUAAGACGAUUGCUCAGGCAAUGCUGGGUUCUUUCAAUCGUGAUGCGGUCAGUGGCUGGGGUUCCAGCAUAUUUAUUCUUGAGAAGGACAAAAUAACUGAGCGUUUAAUCAGAACGCGAAAGGAUUAGUUGCAGAAUUAAAAUGCUUCAAGAAUAAGGAUAAUAUAAAUAAAGGUUUAGUAAGCUUCUACUAGCAACGCGUUUGGCAUUGGCGCCCCAUUUAUCGAUACAUCUCCAAAGAUGUUUCUUCUAUUAAGGCAAUUAUUAUACCUCUCAAAGCUCCCCCAUGUGCUCUCAAGCUUAAGGAGGAUCAGAGUAUACUAAAACAAAGGUUUUCACUGCAAAAGCUAUAAACCUACUGCUAUUUGUACAAGAUUUAAACUUAUCCACUUGCAACCCCAUAAA